rnacentral:lncRNA from 1 species
AUGAAUAUAUCCUCCUGCAGUAUAAACAACUUAUGAGAUCCAGAAUAUGGCUUAGAAACUUAGAAAUCCUAAUCGAACAUAUAUCCUAUCGAUGACUCUUUAGACACUUGACUCUCUGAGACAAAUCUACAUGAUGCAGGAAAUGAUAAAAGACAUGAAAGAAUGCAUAAGAUAAAAUAGAAGAACAAAUUAGAUAAACAGGAGAAAAAACAAUGGAUCCGGGGAAGAAUCCCCUUCUCCAUCGCCUAACCCUAAGAAAACAAAAUUUUAGUGGCUCAAAAACUCACAGGAGCACACACCCGAUUACGACUGCUAAGAAAUGUAUUUAUAGGUCCUAAGUUCUUCCAGGUCACAAUUAGAACUUCUCUGAAGAGGAAUAACGAAAUGGGCCUUGAUGUUAGGCCUUGUGGCUCGGCAUAGGUCCACUGGCGGUGAGAGUCCUCCAGGGCAGGUGGAAUGCUUGUUUGCCAAGGGUGAGAGUCUUCCAGGACUGGUGAAUUUGGACAACUUGGUCUUCACAUAACUUUUGAUUGCACCGUCUGAUUGUGCCGAUGUAAAGUGCUAUUAAAAGCUUGUUGUCUCCUCUUGAAAGUCUCUAAAUUUGAGCUGGAUCAGACGGUGACAAAGUCUUAAUUUGAGGUUGGAACUCUAACAGUCUGACUCUGAGCUAAAAAUAUGGAUUUCUUCUAUUUUGCCAUGGUUUUCCCUAAGUUUCCUGAAAAGAGCCUUGAAACUACAAAAAUAGAAAAUCAUAAUAAAAGUUCCUAAAACUAAUUAAAAUCUUUGAAAAAGCAUUUGAAAUCAAUGGUGACAAUAGGUACAAAUAUGGUGUUAUCAACUCCCCCAGACUUAGACUUUGCUUGUCCUCAAACAAAACAAGAUCCAAUCUAGAAAAAUAUCAUCAACAGAAAUCAUAGGGAACUCAAAAAUAACAGUAACCAUACUUCUAGACCUUAACUAGGGGAAAUGCAUCAAUCAGAUCAAGUCUAGAAAAUUCUCACCAAAAUACAGACAUAACUAAUCCGUUAAUUCGUCAUGCGAAAAUCCACACACUUAAAACUAACUUCCAGUCAACUAGCUCUUAACAUUCAUUAAAGGUUUCAGUGAUUCUCAUCAAAAGAAUUUUAAACAAGGCAUUCAAGGCUAGGUAUUCAGGGGAUUUUUAUAGUGAGGUUUGAUGUGUUUAGGGUUACCUUUUCUGGAGAGACAUGAUAUUAUGCAAAACAGAAAGAGAGGAUGGAGAUGUUGAUAUCCACAGUUUCCAGUCACAUUCUUCUUGCUUUAAGAUUUCUUAUCUCCUUUCUUCAGGCUCUCCUUAUAACUCAUGCAGACAUGGAUUUUUUUUCCAGGUUGUGAAACCAUAACUCCAUAGAUAAAUAUUUGUAGCCUUGGCUCAAAUGAUUUCGGCUUCUAAGACUCUUUAGGCUUUUGGUUUUCUUUCCUUUCGUUUUUUUUUCUCUUUUUUUUUUGUUUUUUGUUGUUUUUUUGGAAAGGGGAUACCUUUUCACAUGUUGUUCUGAUGACUUCAGCAAAUGCCUGUUGGCUGCGGCUGAAAGCUCCUCGGCCGCGGUCAGCUCCUUUUCUUCUCUUUUUUUUUAUAAUUUUUUUUGAUGCAUACUAAGGGUUGUAAUAAAAUGAAAAAGAAAACUUCAAUAGAAAAAGAAACUAGAAUAAUAGGUACCUAGAUAGGUUGCCUCCUAUCAAGCGCUUUGGUUUAUAGUCCUUAACUAGAAUUUGCAAAGAAAAAGGCUAAGUUCAAAUAAGAUCUUGUCCUAAGACAAGUAUUUUUCGAAAUCCUUCUGUUCUCUCUUGCAGGUUCUUCAUCCAGAGUUCUUCUGGUUCGAAUGCUUGUGUUUUAUGCUUUCCUCCUUUGCUCUUAAGUGGUGUAGCUUCAUAGAAGAUGUCCUUGUCGAUAUUUUCAAAAGAAACUCUCCGGUUGGGCCAAUCCAUGCAUGGCUCCAACAGUUGCUAAGUAGGGUCAUCCAAUGAUAACUGGAUAUAAGUCAUCUUUGGUCUUCACUAUGUAGAGAUCGACAUGUGCUAGGCAAUCUCCAGUCCUUAGAGGAAUGUCUCGGGCUAUCCCUCUUGGAGUUUCACUUGAAUCAUCUGCUAAGCUAAUUUUUCCUGAUACUUGAAAUGUGUUUAAUUUCAGGUCUCAAAGUAGUAGCUUUGGACAUCAUGUUAAUACAAACUCAAGAAUCACAAAGAACAUUGAGAAAUUUUCACCUCUAAUGUCACAAGAGAUAACAAAUGGACCUUUGUCUUGAACUUUGUGCAGGGUUCGAACUGGUCUACUUUCUUGGAUGUGUGUGAAUAAGUCUUUCAUCUCUUGGAUAGACUCUUUGCUGUCACAGAAGAAGUAGCCGAUCAUGUAGUCACUACAUGCUUUGACAAACGAAAUUCCUUUGGGCAGACUCUGAACUACUUGAUUGAACUCUUCAAGUUUUUCUUUGCUGAUCUUUUUUGUGUAAUCACUGGCUUUUUGUGGGUCUUUGAGAUGGAUCCUGUAAAUAUCUGCAUCAGACGAUGAUCUAGGAAAAGAUAGGUACCUGGCUCUCCUGAAAUAUGUGUAGAUGUUCUCCUUGGUGUCCUUGUUGUAUUUGAAGAAAACUUAUAGGCAGCCUUGCUUCCAAAUAUCAUCGAAUCCAUGGUAGAGAGGAAUGGAUUUCACAAUUUGUUGAAUUCGUUCAGUCUUUCUCUGGAUAUGCUCUUGGUUAUUGGUUCUGAGUUGCUACUAGAUGAAUUGUCUCCAGGGUUUGCAUCUUCAACAAACAAACCAUACUCUUCAUCUUCUGAGAAUUGCUCUUGAAGCUCAUUAUCACAAGUGUAAACUAUGUUGCAAGGUGCAUAAGUGUUGGAUUCCUCCUUUUCUUUGAUGCUUGUGCAGUGAUUGAGAAGACAGCUUGAUCAAACAACCUAGUUCUGGUCACAAAGGGUAGAUCUUCAGUUGAACAGGUUUUGAGAAAGAGGUUGAAAGGACUCCUUGUCUGAAAAAUCAGGCUCCACCACGGGUGAAGUGUUCGGAGCCGUGGUGGAAGUGAGCCUGGCCGCGGGUGAAGUGCUCGCAUCCGCGGUCAGCUUUCCUCGACUCACAAUGCUUGCUUCUUCAUUAUCUUCUUCUCCAUUAUUGUUAUCUUGCUUCCAGUGGUUGUCAGGCUAAUUAAAACCUUUGAAAAAAACCUUUGAAUUUUCUAAAACUAAUUAAAACCUUUGAAAAAGCAUUGAAAUCAAUGGUGAAAAUGUGUACAAAUACGGUGUUAUCAGUGCUUCAUGAAUUGAUUAGAAAAUUAGACCUAAAGCCAUAUCGUUUUUUGCUCCUUUGGUUAUACCUCCCAGAUUUUGUGGAUUUUAAAAAACCUUCAAACAUAUCGGCCCCACAGUAUAGUUGGUAGAGUUUAGCAUGGGACAUUGUAUUGAAGACGUAUUCACCUCCUUCGUUCGAGUGGCUGGGACGAUAUCCCCCAUGGUUUGAAUUUUAAUGAUCUUCGUAUUCAACUUUCUCUUCUUGGAUCGUCUGAUACCAAUUAUGGUUUGAAUGUUUUAAGUUCAAUAAUAUAAAAGCUCUCCUUUUAUUAGUUUAGGAAAAUCACUCAAAAUUUAAAGCUCUCAAUCUCAAUAGUUGUACCACAACUUGGUAUCUCCUUAUAUAGAAAAUGAAUUAGAUAACUCCUAAUUCCAAUAAAAAUACAAUUUUUCUUAUUCUUUAGAUAACUCCUAAGAAUUAUCCCUAAAACACUUUAGCUUAUUUCUUAAUCAUUUUAGAAAAUAGUUUAAUCUAACUUGUUGCUCAAAUCAUCUUUCAAACUUAAUCCAACAUCGUUUUCGUUUGCUUGUGCCAUAUAGUGAUUAUGAUAUCGAAAAGCCAAUAGAAUCUGUAAAUUAUUAUGCUGAUAAAGCAAUUAAAAGGUGAAUAUUUUUCAUUUAGAACUAAAUUAAUGUAAUAGAUAUACAAGAAGGGCCAGUGUCGAUAUAUAAUUAUAUAUUAUCAGUUUAUCACUGUCACAUAGCAUUUAAUAUCACUACCCGACCGAUGGGAAACAUUGGGCUUUUCACAUAGAAAGAUUGGGCUUUUCACUUAACUAACAUGCAUCUCGUACAUCGUAGUAUAACUAAUUAAUGAUUUUUUAAAUGUGUUUAAUAUUUUAUUAUAUAAAGUUAGAGCACCAUCAACAUAAAUAUGACAUGUAAGGUAAUUAUAAAUCAUCAUAAUGUAAUAUGUGUUAUUGUUAAUUUAGAUUGUGACAUGUCUGAAUGUAAUAAUAUAAGUAGAUAUAGCUAAAUAAAAUCUAACUGAAUAAAUAAAAACGUCCAGUUAGGAAAAACAAACCAAGAUGAAAAGCUUUAUGAAAACCAGUCUAUAACGAGUAAAGAAACCGCAACAGAGCAGAACUAGAUUGCUGUCUCCUAGUCGCGGGUCAAACCUAGCCUAGAAAUCCACAGAGACAGAAGACAACAAACCAAGCAAAACACCAGCACCCUUGAUUGAAAGAAUACCUUACUGCGCCGCAAGAGUUGAAACACAACUGUUGUGAGACCAUCGACUCAACCAAAGAGUGCAAAAACCUAGAAGACACUCGUAUAAAACUCACCAGGAUAAGCACCGGGGAGCGCAAUGUCCGAGAAUGGCCUUACCUCUGCACCAUUCCUCUGCAUCCGAGGCGAAGCAGCGGUUGGAGCGGCGAGUUCUAGGCUUUUGUCUCCGUAAGUUUGGAAGUGCUAGAAGACGGUAAUGAUAUCUCAGAGGUUUGAGGUCGAAAAAUAGGUGUUUGAAGCUCCUAAUUUCCCUCUAUGACAGAAGUCGCAAAACAAUUCAGUUGGUGGUGAUGUGAGUAGGUGGAUCCAAGUAAGCAGCUGAGGCGACUAUCGGCAGUGGCCGAGUAGUUUUUCCUUCCCACAUGUGCAUUUAAGCCUGAUGAGGUUAUUCUUCUCUCAGCCGGAUUGAAGGUUUCUGUAUGAUAUGUGAUGCUAUUGGAUGCAAGGGUUUACUCCUAACUUCACGUUUUAAUUUGUAACCCUAAAUGUUUGCAAGUGUAUAAAUGUGUGUUGUAGUACUUAGGCGUCAAAUCAAAAAGACUUUGAUGUUUUAGUAUGAAUCAGUCUAAUACUUAAAACAUAUAGAACAAACUCAAUGGGGGUUGGUUAUGGUGUGUCACAAAUUCUAAACUAGCAAACGAAAUUAAUGAGGUUGUAAGCAAUAAAAAUGAAAUACUGGGCUUAAGAAAAUUUUCAGGGAUUCAUGCACUAAUCUAAUGAUACUUAAACAACUUGAUAAAUGUAUAUUGACUAAAGAAAUUCUGGAACUCGAAUAUACAGAUGUAUGAUUUCCUAUUGUUACAAAACUAAAUAACUAAUCACUCUCAACUCGACCAGUAGUUUUCGUCUAUAGCUGUCAGGGAGAUCAUUCAAUAUCGACGAGAUUCAAUUAUACUCACGAUACUCUAUAGGUAACUUUUGUCUCCUACAAUGAUUUCACUCGUUGUAAUUAAGUGGGACUGUUGUGGGUUCUAAUUCAACCUAAUAUCAGUUUCUAAGUGGCCAGCAAAAAUUCAUGCAGUAGUAAUAAAAACGAACGAAGAACUCCUAGAAGAUUAUGAACCCUAAAUUUAACAAUUCAACAAAUCAAAACAUGGAAUUCCAUUUGAAAAAUCCCUUUAAACUCAACUGGAAAAUUACUUAGACUUGGUGUAACAAAGCAUCACAAAAGUAUUAAAGGUUGUUGGCAUUAAAGAAAUAAAAGAACGAAGAACGAAGAACACUAAUGAAGAUGGAGAUUCGAUGAUGCUCUUCUUGUUGGCUCCCUCUUCUUGGUGGCUACUCUCUAAAAUUUCCUAAUGAAAUCGAGCGCACUUCUUUGGAUGACCUAAAAGAAGUAUAUAUAGUCUCUGGGGUCGUCGUGAAUUUCUAGGGUUUUCAGAAUAAAUGAAGGGAAUGACUUGGGCUUAAAACAUUCCUCUUAGAUUCCAGAAAUCGGUCCACCGCGGUCGUGAUAGCUGGAGCUGCGGUAAAAUGCAUCAUGGCCAUGGGUGACGGGUCAGACGUUGAUUGAUAUCAAGGCAGUGUCGUAUGCCUUCAGUGCAUCAAGAAUAUCUGAAUAUGUAACUAUUGGAAUGUCACCAAGCCAAUUGAAUUAGAAAUCUGGUUGUCUCCUAAUGUUGUGUAAAGUUUGGGGAUAAUUAGACGGUGAGAAGAUCUUCAUUCGUUGUCAAAGUUCUGACCGUAUGAAUGUAUCCAGAAGUAUUAUUUUGCUCCAAAAUGCACUUCUUUAGUCCAAGUAAUCUGAAAAGUCUUUUGAAACCUUAAAACAUAGAAAUCACUUAAAAUCAUUGAAAACUAAGUUAAAACUAAUAUAAAAUAUUAAGAUUAUCCAUAAAAAUGGUCAAAAUACAGUGUUUUUAACUCUCUGAUAUUUAAAUCUUUGUUUGUUCUCAAACAAAACAGAGAUUAAAGUUGGAAAAGAAAUCAUAACAACGCAGAAAUUAUCAGGACUUAGUCUAGAAAAUUCUCACCAAAGUGCUGCAACACUAGGCUACGAUCUCGAUCAAUCUAAACCUUAGUGCUAGUCAGUUAACUCUCUACAUUCAUUAAAUGGUAGACGACAUUCAGUACAAAAGGCUAUUUGAAUAGUGGAGUUAAAGUGUUUCAGAUUACUUUAAGCUUUGAAGGAUACAAAAUAUUAUACAUAACCGAAAGAGAGUAUGAACCUGUUGAUAUUCAUAGCUUUCUGUCAUUUCUUCUUGCGAGAUGGUUGUCCCUUUUUAAUCUAGGAUUUUGCCAAAAUGUUUUAUAAAAAAAUGUAAUAGUUAAAAUAUAAACAAAUAUAGUUCUCUAAUCUAAUUUUGAAAAAUAAGUGGUACAAAACAUCGGUAUAACGUAAGUUUUCGUUUUUUUUUUCUCCGUACUUUUAAAUUGUAGACAGAACAUAUCAAAAGAAAGAGAAUAAAGUUUCCAUGGGAAUACAAAAUAUUUAACAACUACUCCAACAAAUUUCAGUACACAAGAACACUAUGAAACUUUCGUUAAACGCCUUUAGGAUUUGGAACCUUGAUGCCAUCGAUAGAAUCAUACCACACUAUAAAGAUGCUAUCCUGCUUCUAAAACCAAGUAUGAGAGGAGUACCUGAUAAGAAAGUGUGGCUAAAGCACCCCUCUGGGGAGUACACGGUCAAAUCAGGAUGUAAAGCGGAAGCAGAGGAGUAUGGGAGUACUCCUGUUCUGAAUUGGAUCGCACCGGUGGAUUGGUAUAAACAGGUCUGGGAUCUUAGCAUCUCUCCCAAAAUAAAGCUUUUCAUCUGGAAAGCCAUCUGAGGUGCGUUACCUGUUGGGGAACAAAUGUUAGCAAGACAAAUCCC